rnacentral:rRNA from 1 species
AUUGAACGCUGGCGGCAGGCUUAACACAUGCAAGUCGAGCGGGGUGAUGGUGCUUGCACUAUCACUUAGCGGCGGACGGGUGAGUAAUGCUUAGGAAUCUGCCUAUUAGUGGGGGACAACAUCUCGAAAGGGAUGCUAAUACCGCAUACGUCCUACGGGAGAAAGCAGGGGAUCACUUGUGACCUUGCGCUAAUAGAUGAGCCUAAGUCGGAUUAGCUAGUUGGUGGGGUAAAGGCCUACCAAGGCGACGAUCUGUAGCGGGUCUGAGAGGAUGAUCCGCCACACUGGGACUGGGACAAGGCGCAGACUCCGACGCGAGGCAGCAGUGGGGAAUAUUGGACAAUGGGGGGAACCCUGAUCCAGCCAUGCCGCGUGUGUGAAGAAGGCCUUAUGGUUGUAAAGCCCUUUAAGCGAGGAGGAGGCUCUUUUGGUUAAUACCCAGAAUGAGUGGACGUUACUCGCAGAAUAAGCACCGGCUAACUCUCUGCCAGCAGCCGCGGUAA